AGCUUUGUGCUGUGGCAGUAUCAUAGCCAAUGAGGUUUAUCCGAGGCGCGAUUAUUGCUAAUUGAAAACUUUUCCCAAUACCCUGCCAUGAGGACUUAUAAUAUAGUUGGCAUUGGCAAUUUUUGACAGUCUCUGCAAAGA
rnacentral:snRNA from 1 species